rnacentral:rRNA from 1 species
UACGUAGGGUGCGAGCGUUGUCCGGAUUUAUUGGGCGUAAAGGGCUCGUAGGCGGCCUGUCGCGUCGGGAGUGAAAGCCCACUGCUUAACGGUGGGUCUGCUUCCGGUACGGGCGGGCUAGAGUAUGGCAGGGGAGACUGGAAUUCCUGGUGUAGCGGUGGAAUGCGCAGAUAUCGGGAAGAACACCCGUGGCGAAGGCGGCUCUCUGGGCCGAUACUGACGCUGAGGAGCGAAAGCGUGGGGAGCGAACAGG